rnacentral:tRNA from 1 species
GCUGGUGUAGCUUAAACCCAAAGCAUGGCACUGAAGAUGCCAAGAUAAAAAUUAGCCCUUUUCACAAGCA